UAUACAUUUUUUAUGUUACUCUUGUCAGUUGGUGGUUACCAUAGCAACCAGUAACAGUCAGCUCUUCCCCUUUUUCUGUUGCUGUCUGUUACUGUGGGGCAGAAGCUGCUGGAGCUGCUAACCACCAACUUGUUUAUUUGUCUCUUGUUAGGUAUGUUUUACUAUUUGAUACAAAGUAACAAUUCAGUUGCCAAUUGUACGAUAGUCUUUGAAUGUUAAAUAUUUGUGUGUACUCUGUUUCGUUCACCACAAUAUAUGUAUUCAUUGCUAACUGUGUUAAAUAUAAUGUAGAAAAUUGAUGUACAUUUAUGUUAAAAUUACUAUACGAUCACAGUCAGCUCGCCCCUUUUUCUGUUGCUGUCUGUUACUGUGGGCCAGAAGCUGCUGGAGCUGCUAACCACCAACUUGUUUAUUUGUCUCUUGUUAGAAUAAAUACAGAGAACCAGAAUGUGUCUGUCGUGAAGUCAGCCUGCUGGAUCAGAACGAACAAGAUGGGUUACAUAUAUAUAUUUUUUAUUUUAUUUUAUUCAUAGACAGGCACCUAAUUCUGCAGCCGUUUUAAUCUGUGACUGCAGGGGGCGCUGUUUCUUCUGUACACCUCAGAGUUGGGGGUUUGUUUUUUUUCCCACCAUAAAACAAAUACAGCCCAGCAACAACAUAUAAAGUUAACGCGAGCUGAUAAGUAUUCAAACCCCUGUCUUGUUCCCCUGCUGCAAGCUUUUUUUAAGGCAUGGUUCGGGGCAGAUGGCUCUGUUUAGUCUGAGAGAUGGCUCCUCAGGGCUGAAGUAUAAGAUAAGAUUUAUGUCACACUGUGCAAGGUUAAAAUCCUUAGAAAUUACCUUGAAUCAGAGAGUUCUCUUACUUUGUCUAGUAAGAAAAUAUACGAUGGCCUCCUGCUGUAAAACUGUUGUUCCUUGCAAGGUCAUAAUAAAGCUGGUUAAGUGAC